rnacentral:tRNA from 1 species
UCCCUGUUGGCUCAGACAGUAAAGCAUCUACCUGCAAUGUGGGAGACCUGGGUUCGAUCCCUGGGUCGGGAA